AUUGUUAUAACUUUGGUAUGCUUGGACAUAGAGUCUUCAAACUUGACAUGAAGGUUUGCAAGCACACUUAGAUGACCACUGGUCAUUUCAAGGUCAUUCAUUCUAAGGUCAAGCUUGGAUCAUAUUUAUGUGUCCAAUCUAUCUGCUAGAACUGGUGUGAUAGAAACCUUUUGGAGUGAUCAUAAGGCUGUCUGGAUUUCUGUGUAGGUAUGUGAAAGCAAAACAAUAAAUAGUAUUAUUUCAUCUAAGUUUAUUUUCUUACAUUUGAUAAUGAAAUUGAUGGAAACUUCAAACAAUAUCUUACUAAUUUGCUAAUAAAAAAAUUGAGAUCAAACUUU